rnacentral:rRNA from 1 species
UACGGAGGGUGCAAACGUUGCUCGGAAUCAUUGGGCGUAAAGCGCACGUAGGCGGCGCGUAAGUCGGGUGUGAAAGCCCUGGGCUCAACCCCAGGAAGUGCAUUCGAAACUGGCGCGCUUGAAUAUGGAAGAGGGUCGCGGAAUUCCCGGUGUAGAGGUGAAAUUCGUAGAUAUCGGGAGGAACACCAGUGGCGAAGGCGGCGACCUGGGCCAAUAUUGACGCUG